rnacentral:misc_RNA from 1 species
AUAAUUAUAAGUUACCCUUGUUGUUGCUUUGAAGUAAAGGCUACAGAUGACAUUAAAGCUAAGAUUGCCAGAUUUGAGGAGGAAACUGUGCUAAGAUCUUAGAUUUUAUAUCAAGUCUGACUUGACAGGAUGUGUGAUUCAAACAUUAUUUCCCUGUAUAUAUGCCUUUUGUUGGAAUAUCAAUGAAGUCAAAUUCAUUCCUUCCUUUCCUUCACACUGUCCCCCAAUCACCUGUCUUUUUUUAUUAUUAUUUUUGGUUUUGAGAGAGAGAGAGAGAAAGGGG